ensembl:lincRNA
GCUUCAAGUUGUUUCUUCUCUUAACACAUGCUGUGUUGGGUGAAGCGCAGUGGAGUCGGACCUCUCUUUCUCUGUCUUUAUGUGAUUCCUUCGAGAACCGCAGAGGAUAGGGCGCCGGCAGGGCCGUGUUCCAGGCUUCCCCGCAGCGAGGUGCUGUGUGGGAUUUAGACUCAGCCAAUAAGAUGCAUUUCUUCCACUGGGAGAAGAAAGUGAAACCACAUUUCUGCAGAUUUUGUGUUUCUGCUAUGUCAAGGCACAGGACACGUGUUCUGGAGGGACCGACAGUGCCGGAUCCAGCCGGGACGCCAGAGGGUUAGAACGACGUGGCCCGGAUUGCCACGAAGCAGUGGGAUUGGAGCAGCCGCUUCCUGGCUGUGGAAAGUGUGGCGGUUCCUGCAGCGGUACGGUUCUUGGAAUCCCGAAUGUUCCGCCUGUGGCGCUAAUACGCAACUGGACGGCAGACAGUCGCCCCGACCUAGUGGCGCUGGGAAGUCGUCAGCACCUGCCCUCCAGGUAGGAACUGUGCUCUCCAGGAGUGAGGUCAGGACGUGGCUGUUGGGCAAACCUCCCAUUUCGUCCCCUGCAGAGACAGUUGAGAACUUCGUCUCCUCUAACGUCCGUCUCUCCAGCUCUCCCAGUGCGUAUUCGAGGCAUUUGUUUCUCGGCAGUAAAUGUUUCCCUUCUGAAACGAGUUGGAGCAGACUCUGGUUUCUGCGCUGAACUCUGACUAAUACACGUUGUUCCUGUGUUUGGCAGCCUUCCGGUCAAGUGAGUACGUACGGCACGACACGUGUCCAGGGAGGCCGUCGCACUGAGAGCUAGCGUGUUCCCACGACGGCAUGUCUGUCAGGGAUCGGUACUGUCACUGCGUUUCCUGUCGCUUCCCUCCCGUGUGGCUUACGGAUGACGUCACAAAGUCCCCUUAAGCAGCAGCUACAAGAUGACUUCAGUGCAGACACACAGUUCCAGGCAUAAACCAGAGCCAUGGAAUCUGGCCAUUGGCCGCACCACAGAUGGUCUUACUGGCUCUGUUUUGUUGCUUUGGUACUUCCUGGUGCCUGGGGCUUCGUCACUCUCUUUCAGGGGCUUGGUUGUCAAUUUAUGUGCCGCGUCUUUAACCAAUACUGACCUAUUAGCCCUAAAAACAUUGAAGGAACAUUUAGAAAUAAAAUAAAGACAUAAGGGGUUGACUACUUAAUCAAGUUUUAUACCUUCGCAAGCCAAUGAAGGAAACUCUUCUGUGUGAUGUAGGGUUAAGAGAGUAAGCGCUUCUGAUCCCUUUCCAAAGUGUGUUCAGAGAGUAGCUGCUUAUUCUAAUGAAUAACACAAUGUCCUCGGUUGUCACCAGUGGUCCUGAAAACACUAAGCAUCAGUGACCUUUAUAACAGGCCCGGGGAGUUUUGGAUAUGUGACAAGUGUUUUCCAAAACAGUGUGUCUAGGACGGGACUCCUUUGCUUGGCAUACAAUGUGUAGAAUAAAAGAACUUCAGCAUCUGUCCCUUAACUACAUUCCCAGUAUCCAUUCUUGACUUUAAUCCAGUCUUAAUGAAAACCGGAUUGACUUAUAAGUGCUUUGCUCCCCUGUAUCAUCA